rnacentral:rRNA from 1 species
UAAUACAGAGGUCUCAAGCGUUGUUCGGAUUCAUUGGGCGUAAAGGGUGCGUAGGUGGCGCUGUAAGUCGGGUGUGAAAUUUCGAGGCUUAACCUCGAAACUGCAUUCGAUACUGCGGUGCUUGAGGACUGGAGAGGAGACUGGAAUUCAUGGUGUAGCAGUGAAAUGCGUAGAGAUCAUGAGGAAGACCAGUGGCGAAGGCGGGUCUCUGGACAGUUCCUGACACUGAGGCACGAAGGCCAGGGGAGCAAACGGGAUUAGAUACCCCGGUAGUCCUGGCAGUAAACGGUGCACGUUUGGUGUGGGAGGAUUCGACCCCUUCCGCGCCGGAGCUAACGCGUUAAACGUGCCGCCUGGGGAGUACGGUCGCAAGAUUA